rnacentral:rRNA from 1 species
AGAGUUUGAUCCUGGCUCAGAGUGAACGCUGGCGGCAUGCCUAACACAUGCAAGUCGAACGGUAACAGGCCCGCAAGGGUGCUGACGAGUGGCGGACGGGUGAGGAAUACAUCGGAAUUUACCCAGUCGUGGGGGAUAACGUAGGGAAACUUACGCUAAUACCGCAUACGACCGAGAGGUGAAAGCGUGGGACCGCAAGGCCUCGCGCGAUUGGAUGAGCCGAUGUCGGAUUAGCUAGUUGGCGGGGUAAAGGCCCACCAAGGCGACGAUCCGUAGCUGGUCUGAGAGGAUGAUCAGCCACACUGGGACUGAGACACGGCCCAGACUCCUACGGGAGGCAGCAGUGGGGAAUAUUGGACAAUGGGGGCAACCCUGAUCCAGCAAUGCCGCGUGUGUGAAGAAGGCCUUCGGGUUGUAAAGCACUUUUAUCCGGAACGAAACGUGUUGGGUGAAUAGCCCAGCAAACUGACGGUACCGGAGGAAUAAGCACCGGCUAACUUCGUGCCAGCAGCCGCGGUAAUACGAAGGGUGCAAGCGUUACUCGGAAUUACUGGGCGUAAAGCGUGCGUAGGUGGUUUGUUAAGUCUGCUGUGAAAGCCCCGGGCUCAACCUGGGAAUGGCAGUGGAUACUGGCGAGCUAGAGUGCGGUAGGGGGUAGUGGAAUUCCCGGUAGCGGUGAAAUGCGUAGAGAUCGGGAGGAACACCAGUGGCGAAGGCGGCUACCUGGACCAGCACUGACACUGAGGCACGAAAGCGUGGGGAGCAAACAGGAUUAGAUACCCUAGUAGUCC